AGCGAACGCUGGCGGCAGGCUUAACACAUGCAAGUCGAACGGGCUUCUUCGGACGUCAGUGGCAGACGGGUGAGUAACACGUGGGAACGUGCCCUUCGGUUCGGAAUAACUCAGGGAAACUUGAGCUAAUACCGGAUACGCCCUUUUGGGGAAAGGUUUACUGCCGGAGGAUCGGCCCGCGUCUGAUUAGCUUGUUGGUGGGGUAACGGCCUACCAAGGCGACGAUCAGUAGCUGGUCUGAGAGGAUGAUCAGCCACACUGGGACUGAGACACGGCCCAGACUCCUACGGGAGGCAGCAGUGGGGAAUAUUGGACAAUGGGCGCAAGCCUGAUCCAGCCAUGCCGCGUGAGUGAUGAAGGCCUUAGGGUUGUAAAGCUCUUUUGUCCGGGACGAUAAUGACGGUACCGGAAGAAUAAGCCCCGGCUAACUUCGUG
rnacentral:rRNA from 1 species